rnacentral:rRNA from 1 species
UACAGAGGGUGCAAGCGUUAUUCGGAAUUACUGGGUGUAAAGCGCGCGUAGGCGGUUUGUUAAGUUGGAUGUGAAAUCCCCGGGCUCAACCUGGGAACUGCAUCCAAAACCGGCAAGCUAGAGUAUGGUAGAGGGUGGUGGAAUUUCCUGUGUAGCGGUGAAAUGCGUAGAUAUAGGAAGGAACACCAGUGGCGAAGGCGACCACCUGGACUGAUACUGACGCUGAGGUGCGAAAGCGUGGGGAGCAAACAGG